CAGCCACGAACGCUGGCGGCGUGCCUAAUACAUGCAAGUCGAGCGGACAGAUGGGAGCUUGCUCCCUGAUGUUAGCGGCGGACGGGUGAGUAACACGUGGGUAACCUGCCUGUAAGACUGGGAUAACUCCGGGAAACCGGGGCUAAUACCGGAUGGUUGUCUGAACCGCAUGGUUCAGACAUAAAAGGUGCCUUCGGCUACCACUUACAGAUGGACCCGCGGCGCAUUAGCUAGUUGCUCACCUCCCCCUACACCAAGGCGACGAUGCGUAGCCGACCUGAGAGGGUGAUCGGCCACACUGGGACUGAGACUCGGCCCAGACUCCUACGGGAGGCAGCAGUAGGUAUCUUCCUCACUGCCAAAUCCUCACGCAGCAACNCCCCUCCUUCCUCCCGCUCUUCGUUUCGUGGAAGCUAAAAUGU
rnacentral:rRNA from 1 species